rnacentral:rRNA from 1 species
UACGGAGGGGGCUAGCGUUGUUCGGAAUCAUUGGGCGUAAAGGGCGCGUAGGCGGCCGAUCAAGUCGGAGGUGAAAUCCCUCGGCUCAACUGAGGAAUUGCCUUCGAUACUGUUCGGCUUGAGUCCUGGAGAGGGUAGCGGAAUUCCCGGUGUAGCGGUGAAAUGCGUAGAGACCGGGAAGAACACCAGUGGCGAAGGCGGCUACCUGGACAGGUACUGACGCUGAAGCGCGAAAGCUAGGGGAGCAAACAGGAUUGAGAAACCCUAGGUA